UACGGAGGGUGCGAGCGUUGUUCGGAAUUAUUGGGCGUAAAGCGCGUGUAGGCGGUUUGUUAAGUCUGAUGUGAAAGCCCCGGGCUCAACCUGGGAAGUGCAUUGGAUACUGGCAGACUUGAGUACGGGAGAGGAGAGUGGAAUUCCCAGUGUAGGAGUGAAAUCCGUAGAUAUUGGGAGGAACACCGGUGGCGAAGGCGGCUCUCUGGACCGAUACUGACGCUGAGACGCGAAAGCGUGGGGAGCAAACAGG
rnacentral:rRNA from 1 species